rnacentral:rRNA from 1 species
UACAGGGGGUGCUAGCGUUGUUCGGAAUUACUGGGCGUAAAGGGCGCGUAGGCGGUCUUUUAAGUCAGGGGUGAAAUACCGGAGCUUAACUCCGGAAUUGCUUUUGAUACUAUUAGGCUAGAGUAUGUUAGAGGAUGGCGGAAUUCCUAGUGUAGAAGUGAAAUUCGUAGAUAUUAGGAAGAACACCGGUGGCGAAGGCGGCCAUCUGGGACAUAACUGACGCUGAGGCGCGAAAGCGUGGGGAUCAAAC